UGAACCUGCGGAAGGAUCAUUACCGAGUGCGGGCCCCUCGGGGCCCAACCUCCCACCCGUGUUGCCCGAACCUAUGUUGCCUCGGCGGGCCCCGCGCCCGCCGACGGCCCCCCUGAACGCUGUCUGAAGUUGCAGUCUGAGACCUAUAACGAAAUUAGUUAAAACUUUCAACAACGGAUCUCUUGGUUCCGGCAUCGAUGAAGAACGCAGCGAAAUGCGAUAACUAAUGUGAAUUGCAGAAUUCAGUGAAUCAUCGAGUCUUUGAACGCACAUUGCGCCCUCUGGUAUUCCGGAGGGCAUGCCUGUCCGAGCGUCAUUGCUGCCCUCAAGCCCGGCUUGUGUGUUGGGCCCCGUCCCCCCCGCCGGGGGGACGGGCCCGAAAGGCAGCGGCGGCACCGCGUCCGGUCCUCGAGCGUAUGGGGCUUCGUCACCCGCUCUAGUAGGCCCGGCCGGCGCCAGCCGACCCCCAACCUUUAAUUAUCUCAGGUUGACCUCGGAUCAGGUAGGGAUACCCGCUGAACUUAAGCAUAUCAAUA
rnacentral:rRNA from 1 species